CUGAGGAAGUAAUAUGAGUUUAUGAUUAUUUCCAUUAUUAUUAUUAUCAUUAUGAGGUUAGUAAUGAUUGGGAUCCUUCAACGAUAUGGAUUGCUUCAUUUUCUGGUCACGCAAUUUAACACACCUACACACUCUAGCAAAUUCUUUUGAACCUUCGCCGCACACAAACCUACCGCCGCCGCUCGCCAAAUGAAUCGCAACCGUCAUGACAAGCCGUCACUGUACCACGUCUGCUCUCUUAAACUACACACGAGCCAGCCACCACCGCCAUUACGUUUCGUUGUAUCCGGUGAGAACAUCACCGAUGUACAACACCAUGUGUCCAUCCGCCGUGGUUCAGGUCGCUACCGCCGCCAUCGGUCCCAACUCACGAAUCAGUCUCUGUUGCCGUUUUUUUUAUACAGUUACCGAUCAUUGCCACCUACUGGUCCCCGCUUGAUUGCUACAAUACACUUCCGGUUAACGAGCACCAUUUCUCUUGUCUUGAAACUUUUCGGCCACUCAUUAUAUACUUAUAGACGGUCCUCUUUCCUGCAAGGUUGUCGUAUAUGAUUCGGGUGAGACGUUAUAAUUUUUGUCAAGUUGCGAGCUAAGCUUUUAAGGUAAUCUGGGAUAAUAUGGGAUUUCAGUGAGGAGCGUUAGGAAGUUGCUGACCAAGAUUCUUUAUUUCAGUAACGUAAUAAAAUGUAAUUAAGAUCUUUUAUUUAAUGUUAUGGAUUGGUUUUUAGUUUUGAUAUCUGUAAGAGUGACACGUCAGCCCUAUUCGGGUCGGGGUGUUACAUAGCAUCAAAGGACAAUCAUUUCAGAACCAAAAACAACAAGAAUCGUGAGAACUGCAUAAUACACUUGUACCUUUUGUUUAAGUGUGAUACAAAAGGUGGUUACAUAACCCCUACGCCACUAUCUCAUUAUAUCAUCAAUACAU